ensembl:lncRNA
CCUUUCUGCAAAAACUUGCUAACUAACCACAGUGAAACUUGAAAAAGUGCAUCGCAAACGAGAAGUGGAAAUCGUUUUUCAGCAGCGACUGGUAUUAGCGGGGUGGACGGGUGGAGAGGUGUCCAUGACCAGUCUUUAGGCCUGCUUUAGCAAUUGAUUGUACAGCUAGCUUCCAGUAAUCACUCGCAACCAGAAAAGGCCUAGAGGACUGCCAUCUGUUUAAGUGCUACAGUCUGAAAUCUCCUCUGAACUUGAACAGACUUGUUCAAUAAUGAUGUGGCUGAAAAAGUGAGGUGACAAAAAAUGAACUGCAGCCAGCUGUUGGCCUCCUGUGAUAUUUCCACAGAGGAACAAUCUGCACUAGGACGAUCGGGUUGAAGGCCCAGCAAAGAUUCAUCUGCGUCGAUGAGAAGUGAAAAUUGCUAAAGGAUACAAGUGAAGCAAAGAGGCACGAGGCCAGCUCUGUGAUAGAAUAGCUGUUGCAUGGAAUCGCAUUACAGCGUCUUUCUUCUUCCUGUCAAACAAACGGACUGUUCUGCCCCACUUUCAGAAGUCUCAAACUGUCUUUUCCACGGCACUGAUCCCAAAGAUUGGUUUUUGUUUUAAUGCCGUGUCGCUGGUGCUGCUCAUGCCACUUCCCUAAAAGCCCGGGAUAUUACAAAUGCUGUCCAUGCAUGCAGCUGCACACAGCAGCGAUAACUGCACUCUCAUUAAACUGUCUUCACCUGAUAAACAUGUGAUUGUUGACUGCGAUAGAGAUAAAAUACUAUAGUAUAUAGCGCUCCCUGUG